rnacentral:lncRNA from 1 species
CAUGGUGAGGAUGUAGAGAAAUCAAAACUAUUCCACAUUAUUGGUGCAAUGUAAUAUGAUGCAGACAUUGUGGAAAACAGUUUGUCAUUUCCUCAAAAGCUAAACAUGAAGUUAUCAUAUGACUUAGUAAUUCCACUUAUACAUAUAUUCCCCAAAGACUUAAAAAUAGGUACUCAAACAAAUACGUUUAUAUGCAUAGUUAUAGUAGCGCUAUUCACAAUAGCAAAUAGGUGGAAACAGCGAAAUGUUUAUCAACAAAUGAAUGAAUAAAGAUAUCAGGGUAUAGACAUACAAUGAAAUAUUAUCCAGCCAUGCAAAUAAAUGAAGCAUUGAUAUACGCUACCAUGUAGAUAAACCUCAAAAGCAUUAUGCUCAGUGAAAGAAGCCAAACAUAAAAUGUACAUAUCAUAGGACAUCAUUUAUAUGAAAUAUCCAGAAAAGGUAAAUCCAGACAUACAGAGCACAAAUUGGUGGUUACCAGGGGCCGAAUGAAGGGAGAAAUAGGGUGUAACUGCUUAAUGGGUAUAAGGUUUCUUUAUGGAGUAAUGAAAAUGUUUUAGAAAAACGUUGUUGAUGUCCUAAACGCCACUGCAUUAUACACUUUUAAAUAGCUAAUUUUAUGCACACUUUAAAAACGUGAAUUUCACCUCAAUUUUAAAAAUCUAAAAAAUAAUGAAAGGAAAAUAUAAUAACAAUGACUCAUACCAAGAACCAAAAUAGAGAAAUAUAAACUAUAAAAAUAAACUAAAUAAAAAUUAUAGAUGAAAAAUACAACACAUGUAAAGUGGGAGUUCUAGAACUCGAGAAGAGAGAGAAAGGUAUAUAAAUUGAAUAUUCAAAGGAAUAGUAGCCAAAAACUUCCCAAACUGGAUGAAAACAAUUUACAGAUCCAAGAAGCUCAAACCAAAUGUAGGAUAAAUACAGUAUAAUCAGCCUGCUGAGAGCUAACAAAAACAAUCAGAAAAUCUUGCAAGUAGCAAGAGUAAAACAACUUAUUGUGUAGAGGGGAGUAACAACAAUAAUUAACAUCAGACUCUGCAUCAGAAACAAUGGAGUCCAUAAGGCAGUAGAAUAACAUUUUCAAUGUGCUGGGGCUGUGGUGUGUAUAAAACUGUUAACCAAGAAUUCUGUAUCAAAAAAAAUUAUUCAAAAAUGAAGGGAAAGAUGCUUCUAGGUAAACAUUGAGAAAGUUUGUUAGUAGCCAACCAAUCUUACAAGAAAUGCUGUAGGACAUUUUUCAGGUUGAAAGGAAAUGUCACCAGAUAGUAACUUGAAUCAACAGGAAGAAAUGAAAAGUUUAAAAAUGGUAAAUAUGUCAUUAACUAUAAAAGAAUGAUUAAAUAUAUAUUCGGCUUUUUU